rnacentral:rRNA from 1 species
UACAGAGGUCUCAAGCGUUGUUCGGAUUCAUUGGGCGUAAAGGGUGCGUAGGUGGCGUCGUAAGUCAGGUGUGAAAUUUCGGAGCUUAACUCCGAAACUGCAUUUGAUACUGCGGUGCUUGAGGACUGGAGAGGAGACUGGAAUUUACGGUGUAGCAGUGAAAUGCGUAGAGAUCGUAAGGAAGACCAGUGGCGAAGGCGGGUCUCUGGACAGUUCCUGACACUGAGGCACGAAGGCCAGGGGAGCAGACGGG